UCAACCUGUUAGUAUUUAUGUGCAUCCGCCAGGUACCGGCCAACCUUAUCCGGCCAUGUCAAAUUUUUCGCCCAGAAUGAGGAGUUUCGACACGAUUGGUCUUCGAAUUUGGGAGAACAUUUUACCGUGCGUAAAUUCUUCUUUGAGUCUUCAAAUUAUAGUAGUUUGACGAAUUAAUGGUCCGCCAACUUGAAGACCCCACCCACCAAAAGGUAGGAGAAAAUGGCUAUUCAACUGUGUACUCUUGAUUUAUACCACAAGCCAACUGACUAUCUGGUAAGCUUACAGUGACUUUUUGGUAGUAACCAAUUGCUUGCGUAUAUGGACCUGCAAUUUGCUGAGUUGCAUCUCACCUGUGAAACGCUGGAGCUAGUCAUUGCACUGCAGCCACAGUUGAGACAAGACUUUCCCUUACUCCCCUUGGUGAUUCCUGACUGGCUCAUCACCGUACAUUCCCUCCCCAUACCUCCACCCUCCUUCCCAUCCUCCUUCCCCACCCUCCUUCCCCAUCCUCCAUCCCGUCCGUCAUCCCCUUUCUAUCAUCAUUUGCACGCACUGGUCCAUUUCUGUCUCUCUUUCCUCUCUACACCUACUCUUUUGUCACUUGCACGCACCGUUUCAUUUCUAUCUUCCUUUUCUCUUCCUCUUUCCUCUGUUUUCCUCCCUUCCCUCUCCAUCUCUCGCACGCACCUUCUAAUUUCUGCCCUUCCCCUUUUUCCUCUCUUUACUAACAUGGGAUCAUGACAGCUACCUUCCCGGUGGUGAUCCUGUUAAGGGAAGCUUUCCUGCUAAAGGGAAAUUUCCUGAACUAAAGCUGUCAAAUAGGGGAUGUUAGUUUACUGGAUCACUUUGAACAAUGAUCAACUUUAAAAGUCUUUAUGAUGGAGAUCAUGAUGAUAAUUUCAUGUUUUCAAAAGGCAAAAGAAAGUUGCCAAAUUUGAAAUACACUUGUAAAGCAUUCGGCCUGCUCCUGCACACUCUGCUGUACACUGUUUGCAUACGUGUGCCCUCUAUCUAGCAAGGUUGAUCCAGUAUGGUACACGUGCUACAUGAGUGUACUGAGUUUUGCACUGCAAAAAGCUUGCAAAAUAAUCAUUGCUUGUAAGGAUUUUGACUUCAGAGACAGGCCUCAUUGCUGACCAACGACUUGGCAAGGAUUCAUGGCGGGCUAGGACCACAGCGGAGUGCUUGAAGAUGACAAACCUGGUGAGAGUGAGACGGCUGUUCUGAAAAUCAACCGCCAUGACCGCACCUUCAUUCCCAAGUAUUACAUGCACGGGAAACCAGUGAACUGAGAUUUGACUGGUCUUUACUUUCAAAACUCAAACUUAGUUGCUCCAUGAGUUGCUUGCAGUUCACUCCAUCUUGAACUUGAAUUGCAAAGAUGAUGUUGAUGUACAUGUACCUUGUUGGAGUGUAGCCUUUUGGACGAUUUGGGAGGCCGCUGCUUGAACUUCUAGUAGCAGUCUGCAGUAUUUCUACUUCUACUCUGGUACUCGGUAGAAUCCACAAGACUGGAUGAAACACUGAGGGACUUCUUGACCAUGAGCGGUGCUGGAGGUGCAAACAACGUGCAACUUAAAACUUCAGCAGUUCAUGUGAACAACGCCAUAGCUUCCUUGUGGGAAGCUGUAUCUGGACAGAUGCUGUCUACAUAGAUGGUAGCUAUUGAUCUUCUGCCAUGGGAACCAAGGUGCAGACAGGCAGCUCAGGAUGUCUGUGAGGGAUGAGGCACCAUCCUGAGGUCUUAUCUGGCUUCUCUCAGGACGAUUGAGAGUUCCAAACUGAAGAGACUGACCUUUGCAAACCAUGCUGAGGCUGGAUUGGACCAGACCAGUGCCUAGACUAGGCAGGACAGGCUGGAUGACCAUCACCAUGGUGACUGGGAUGACCUUAAGGGUGAGUCAAACCAAGAAUACAACCUGCUCCAUCAAAACUCAUCACAAUGUGCUCCAAACAACCUCCUUUGAAAAUGACCAUAAUUCUCUCACUUGAUUCUUGUGAAUUGGAGUUUUGUCCUCAACAUUCUGAUUGAAAGUAAUUUGAUAUUUUUACAUGACAGCAUCCUGGACAAUACAUUGUAAUUUGAAGAAGAAAGAGAAAUGAGUAUAAUUUCUCAACAAUGAUCAUGACAGUCAUUUCUGAAACAAAGAGGAAUUAAAAGUUCCCCUUAUUAAAGUGAUUACUGUGUGAUUUGAUAUCAAACCAGAAUUUUAUUUGUGUGAACUGUCAAAGAGAAACACAGUUAGAUUGAAAUAUUUGCAUCAAGUGUCCAGUGACUUUCAUAAUGGUUUGCAAGCUGAUAAAACUGCCACAAUCAUUGUAGCAAACCUCUUACAGUAGGGUGCACACAUUCUUAAUUUGAUGGAGCAGGUUUUAUGUUUCAUAGGAGAGAUUUAAGUGAAAAGUUACUAUGAAUUGAAGCAUUUUUCUCCAAACUAUUUAAAGGCAUAUAGGAUCAUUUGCAUUUGUCCCAAAAUUAACCUUCCACAUUAUUAUAAAAUACUUAAUUGGACUAAUUAGUGAUAGUAAUGGUGCUAAACACCCCAUAAAAUUAUCGUGUCUGACAUGCUUACAUAUAAAAAAAAUAUCAAGAAAUGUAGGUGAUUUCCAACAAUCAGUUAUUUGCAUGGUUUUUGGAAUAAAAAGUGCUGACGAAACAUAAUCAAAAAGUCAUGCUUGGUUUUUUACAGUUUCCUUACAAAGUGUACUAUUCACUGAACUGAAACUUCAACAGAUAAGGUUUUGAACACUCUUCUUUAGAUUUUGAGUGAUGUUAUUAUUGGGUAAAGAAAAUACAUGAACAGCAAAUGAUCCUAUAUAUGCUUUUAACUGUUGCCAUAUAGUUUUCUGUGGCAAAUGGUACACACAUAUGCCUACUCUAUCAUUGGUUGCUAGAAAAGAUUGGUUUUUCAUUUGUUUCAUUUCCUACUGAUUUCAUUUUGUUUUCAAAAUUCAUGAGUUUGUUUACCUGAUAACAUUUGGUUCUGAGAUCUUAAUAUGUGAACAUUUUUUUGUCUGAGCAUGUAAAAUGUAGUUUCUGUCACUGCAUAAUAUGCCACAGAAAUAACAAAUUUUUACCUUUCUUUACUUAAUCAUUGAUGGAAAAAUUUAGACACUUCAAAUCUCUGAGCUGCCUGUUUUGAUAAGGGUUGCAUAUUUUGGUCUAGGAAAAGAUCAUAAUAUUGUAACUAUUAACUUUGAUAUUGAAAAUCAUUUGCUGACAAAAUGAAGUGAAAAUGUUUCUUGUUUUUGCAAAUGAUUGAGAUUGAUGAUAAAUUUGAGAAAGCCAUGCUGUUAUGUUAGUGAAUUGUAGGUGCCAGGCUGGAUCAGGAUAACAUGUAGCUGACAAUUAGUUCCAAAAAUUGUUGCUCUCCUUUUAAAUCUAUGGCUAACUUCUGGCUUCUUUUCUAAAUACUCAAAAAUAAUUUCAUAAAUUCCUCACCCUAUCUACAUGUUCCUGCCUUUUUUUCUCCACGUUUGCUAGACCUUUUAGUCCUUAUUCAUCAACUGAAAAAACAAACUUUUUAAAAUCCUCUGCAUAUUACAGUGUUGCUAUUCUACACUUUGGAGUUUUUUAAAAUCCCAUCUUACUAUCAUAGAAAUACAACCAAAGCUAAGCCAACUCAAUCUUUUAUUUUGUGAAGCUGGAUCAAAUCCUUUGCCUGUAUUUCCUCUGCUAAACUAUAGUCCUUUCUUCAUCAUAUUGCAACACAACAACCAAAAACUCAACUGUUAUCACAAGCAACUAUUCAUGUGCAAAACUGUGCACUUACAUUGUCUAACCAAAGGGUGUCUUGGGAGCUCUCAGAAAGAAAAUUAAAGGCCAUUCAAGCACAAUCAUUGGUCAUAAUUUUCCUAAUGUUAAUUGAAGGUAAUUGUAAAAUUCUUUUAGCACUUCUCUGGAUAUGAAGGGGCUUUGUCAAUCGCGUGGAUCACAAAAUAUGAAUGAUUUAAAGUUUGACAAAUAAUCUUCUUUAGCUAAGAAUACCAAAAACCAAAUGAAGUACAGCCAAAGUCUUCAUUUUGGUUCGCCAUAUCUCAAAAGUCCUGGUUAUUUAAAUAAAUGUUAGUAGUUGGUGCAUGCUGUUAAUUACAAAGUCCCUUUAACUCAUGGCAAGUACAUUGCUAGGGGCGUUCGCGUAGUUUGUCGGUCUUGUGCACAUAAUUUUUAUUACUGAAUAAUAUAUCAGUGGUCGUUCAUAUUGCGGUAGACAUGGUCAUAUAAGCUGCUUGCUAGCCAACUCUGAGAGUCAUCCCCUCCCUUCCUUUUGGGCAACCAUUUCUUUGGUACUCUGCCCUCAGUAUCUAUUCUUUAUUCAUCUCUUUAUGCCAUCUUUCUUAGAUACCUUUGCCUUCCAUUCUUUUCUGAUCUUAUUUCAAUUCAACAGUAACAUUUACUUCCAUUUAAAGCAGAGUAAAAGAACAGUGAGAACAAUAAGUUAAAGAUGGAGGCAUUCUUUUAAAAUCUGAAGCUUAUAGGGGCAUGCCUUACAUAAAUGCAUUGGUUACCAAUGUGUGUAAGGUUUUUCAUUUGUAUUGUUUUGAUUAUUAUUAUUGAACAAUAGUUUAAUGAUUUUCUAUUUCCAUAUUCUGAUUGAAGUAUUGCAGUUAUUACAAUUUCCCUCUGUUUGCUGUUAUUGCAGUUAACAAUUUGCUAUACAUGUUCAUCUCCAUACACAUUCUUCUUUGUUCUUCUGCCUUGGGUGUUCUUCUUAGUCAUUUUCUAGACUAAACAGAAGCCAACCUCUACACCUUGCAAUUACUGUCCUUUCUAUUAUUUCCUCAUCCUGUUCUCCCCUCCAAAGAAAUGAAUGCAUCAUACUAUUUUGAACAAAUAAAUGAAGUGGAUUGCGGUGUCCACUCCCGAUCUGAUUCUAUAGCCCCAACAUUCCUGAAUCCUCCAAUUUCAAUAUAAUUUUGCACACCCCCUAGGGAGUUAGAAAUGAAACAAACAAUCAUUGUUUUAAAAUUGACAGGCAGUUAGGGAGAAAAAGAUUUAUCAACCAUGUCAGAAACUCUCACCCUCCAAAAUGUUCCACUUAUGUUCAAAUGAAGGAUACCCAGCGCCUCAAUCCUUCAAGUUCAUCAGACAG
rnacentral:lncRNA from 1 species